AGGAAGCCAUACAGACCCGAAGACUCAUCGUCUGUGGAGGAGGGGGAGUCAUGUUAGGAUAACAUGAAAGCUGCAGCAGCGGGACGGGCGUGGACUCGCAGUCCUCGAUGGUCUGGAAGGUGAGGUCGGCCAGCGGGAUGAACCACUUACAGUCGUACUGCUGCCCUUUGCUGUGGAAGAAGAAGGUUUUAUAAAGGGCUGCGCAGUUCGGGCAGACCCUGACCCAGACUCACCCGGCGGCCUGUUUCUUCAGCUUGGUGCAAAGCAGCAGGUCGGUGAACAGGAAGACGUGACGCAGUUUCCUGGAUCCCUCGACCAGCUCCACCAUGAAGCGAUCCCUCAGCAGUUGCCGGUGCUGCAACAGGAAGGGAGGAAUCACGUCAGGCCGCUCGCAGUAUUUAACUCCCAGAUACACACCCAGAAAAUAAUACACCAGUAAUGCAUCGUAUACUGGAAUAUACAUGCUAUGUAUCGUAGUAGAAUGUGCACAUUUUCACUUCCACUUCAUUGGAUGUUCUUUUAAUUAAUUGUGUUCAACUUUCUCAUUUUUUCUUUCAUUUAUUAUUUUAUUCCACUUUCUUACUUUUGUGGUUUAUAUAAAU